GGCGGACGGGUGCGUAACACGUAAGCAAUCUACCCUCGAGUGGGGGACAACUACGAGAAAUUGUAGCUAAUACCGCAUAAUGUAUUGGGGUAAGGCCCAAAUACCAAAGCCUUCGGGCGCUUGAGGAGGAGCUUGCGGCUUAUCAGGCAGUUGGUGAGGUAACGGCUCACCAAACCUAUGACGGGUAGCUGGUCUGAGAGGAUGAUCAGCCACAUUGGGACUGAGACACGGCCCAGACUUCUACGGAAGGCAGCAGCAGGGAAUUUUGCGCAAUGGGCGAAAGCCUGACGCAGCAACGCCGCGUGGAUGAUAAAGGCCUUCGGGUCGUAAAAUCCUUUUCUUGGGGAAGAAGCUCUGACGGUACCCAAGGAAUAAGCCUCGGCUAAUCACGUGCCAGCAGCCGCGGUGAUACGUGAGAGGCAAGCGUUAUCCGGAUUUAUUGGGCGUAAAGGGCGUGUAGGUGGUUUGGCGAGUCCUUUGUGAAAGCUCUCGGCUCAACCGGGAGAGGUCAAAGGAUACUACCAGACUUGAGGAUAGCAGAGGAAGAUGGAAUUCC
rnacentral:rRNA from 1 species